rnacentral:rRNA from 1 species
UCAAGUAAUUAAGUGCAUGUGGUGGAUGCCUUGGCAGUCAGAGGCGAUGAAAGACGUGAUAGCCUGCGAAAAGCUCCGGGGAGGCGGCAAAUAUCCUUUGAUCCGGAGAUGUCUGAAUGGGGGAACCCACCUACUUUAAGGUAGGUAUUGCAACAUGAAUACAUAGUGUUGCAAGGCGAACGAGGGGAAGUGAAACAUCUCAGUACCCUUAGGAAAAGAAAUCAAUUGAGAUUCCCUCAGUAGCGGCGAGCGAACGGGGAUCAGCCCAUUAAGUUAUGUGUGUUUUAGUGGAACGCUCUGGGAAGUGCGAACGUAGAGGGUGAUAUUCCCGUACACGAAAGGGCACACAUAAUGAUGACGAGUAGGGCGAGGCACGUGAAACCUUGUCUGAAUAUGGGGGGACCAUCCUCCAAGGCUAAAUACUCCUGACUGACCGAUAGUGAACCAGUACCGUGAGGGAAAGGCGAAAAGAACCCCUGUGAGGGGAGUGAAAUAGAUCCUGAAACCGCAUGCAUACAAGCAGUGGGAGCACCUUCGUGGUGUGACUGCGUACCUUUUGUAUAAUGGGUCAGCGACUUAUAUUCAGUAGCGAGGUUAACCGUAUAGGGGAGCCGUAGAGAAAUCGAGUCUUAAUAGGGCGUUUAGUUGCUGGGUAUAGACCCGAAACCAGGCGAUCUAUCCAUGAGCAGGUUGAAGGUUGGGUAACACUAACUGGAGGACCGAACCCACUGUCGUUGAAAAGCCAGGGGAUGACUUGUGGAUAGGGGUGAAAGGCUAAUCAAGCCUGGUGAUAGCUGGUUCUCCCCGAAAGCUAUUUAGGUAGCGCCUCGGACGAAUACCAUAGGGGGUAGAGCACUGUUUCGGCUAGGGGGUCAUCCCGACUUACCAAACCGAUGCAAACUCCGAAUACCUAUGAGUACUAUCCGGGAGACAGACUGCGGGUGCUAACGUCCGUAGUCAAGAGGAAAACAAUCCAGACCGCCAGCUAAGGCCCCAAAAUCAUAGUUAAGUGGGAAACGAUGUGGGAAGGCAUAGACAGCUAGGAGGUUGGCUUAGAAGCAGCCACCCUUUAAAGAAAGCGUAAUAGCUCACUAGUCGAGUCGGCCUGCGCGGAAGAUGUAACGGGGCUAAAACUAUGUGCCGAAGCUGCGGAUGUAUACUUUGUAUACGUGGUAGGGGAGCGUUCUGUAAGCCGAUGAAGGUGUGUUGAGAAGCAUGCUGGAGGUAUCAGAAGUGCGAAUGCUGACGUGAGUAACGACAAAACGGGUGAAAAACCCGUUCGCCGAAAGACCAAGGGUUCCAGUCCAACGUUAAUCGGGGCUGGGUGAGUCGACCCCUAAGGCGAGGCCGAAAGGCGUAGUCGAUGGGAAAAUGGUUAAUAUUCCAUUACUUCUGUGUAAUGCGAUGAGAGGACGGAGAAGGCUAAAUCAGCCUGGCGUUGGUUGUCCAGGUGAAAGGAUGUAGGCAUGUAUCUUAGGCAAAUCCGGGGUACUCUAUGCUGAGAUCUGAUAGCAAGCUGUACUUGUACAGCGAAGUGGUUGAUGCCAUGCUUCCAGGAAAAGUCUCUAAGCUUCAGUUACACAGGAAUCGUACCCGAAACCGACACAGGUGGUCAGGUCGAGUAGACCAAGGCGCUUGAGAGAACUCUGCUGAAGGAACUAGGCAAAAUGGUACCGUAACUUCGGGAGAAGGUACGCUGUUGUUGGUGAUGGAACUCGCUUCCUGAGCUGACGACAGCCGCAGAAACCAGGCCGCUGCAACUGUUUAUUAAAAACAUAGCACUCUGCAAACACGAAAGUGGACGUAUACGGUGUGACGCCUGCCCGGUGCCGGAAGGUUAAUUGAUGGGGUUAGCGGCAACGCGAAGCUCUUGAUCGAAGCCCCGGUAAACGGCGGCCGUAACUAUAACGGUCCUAAGGUAGCGAAAUUCCUUGUCGGGUAAGUUCCGACCUGCACGAAUGGCGUAAUGAUGGCCAGGCUGUCUCCACCCGAGACUCAGUGAAAUUGAACUCGCUGUGAAGAUGCAGUGUACCCGCGGCUAGACGGAAAGACCCCGUGAACCUUUACUGCAGCUUGACACUGAACUUUGACCUUACUUGUGUAGGAUAGGUGGGAGGCUUUGAAGCUGGAACGCUAGUUCCAGUGGAGCCGUCCUUGAAAUACCACCCUGGUAAUGUUGAGGUUCUAACUCUGUCCCGUGAUCCGGGACGAGGACCGUGUCUGGUGGGUAGUUUGACUGGGGCGGUCUCCUCCUAAAGAGUAACGGAGGAGUACGAAGGUGCGCUCAGCGUGGUCGGAAAUCACGCGUAGAGUAUAAAGGCAAAAGCGCGCUUAACUGCGAGACCCACAAGUCGAGCAGGUACGAAAGUAGGUCUUAGUGAUCCGGUGGUUCUGUAUGGAAGGGCCAUCGCUCAACGGAUAAAAGGUACUCUGGGGAUAACAGGCUGAUACCGCCCAAGAGUUCAUAUCGACGGCGGUGUUUGGCACCUCGAUGUCGGCUCAUCUCAUCCUGGGGCUGAAGCAGGUCCCAAGGGUAUGGCUGUUCGCCAUUUAAAGAGGUACGCGAGCUGGGUUUAGAACGUCGUGAGACAGUUCGGUCCCUAUCUACCGUGGGCGCUGGAAAUUUGAGAGGAUCUGCUCCUAGUACGAGAGGACCAGAGUGGACGAACCUCUGGUGUACCGGUUGUGACGCCAGUCGCAUCGCCGGGUAGCUAUGUUCGGAAGGGAUAACCGCUGAAAGCAUCUAAGCGGGAAGCCUACCUCAAGAUAAGAUUUCCCUAGGACUUUAUGUCCUCUAAAGAGCCGUUCGAGACUAGGACGUUGAUAGGUUGGAUGUGGAAGCAUAGUGAUAUGUGAAGCUGACCAAUACUAAUUGCUCGUGAGGCUUGACUAU